AGAGUUUGAUCCUGGCUCAGAAUGAACGCUGGCGGCGUGCCUAACACAUGCAAGUCGCACGAGAAAGGCUGGGUUUCGGCUUGGCCGAGUAAAGUGGCGCACGGGUGAGUAACGCGUGGGUGACCUACCCUCGAAUCUGGGAUAACCUCGCGAAAGCGGGGCUAAUACCGGAUACGUCCCUUCGGGGAGAAAGCCGGCCUCUCGAAGAAGCUGGUGUUCGGGGAUGGGCCCGCGUCCUAUCAGCUAGUUGGUAGGGUAACGGCCUACCAAGGCGACGACGGGUAGCUGGUCUGAGAGGAUGAUCAGCCACACUGGCACUGGAACACGGGCCAGACUCCUACGGGAGGCAGCAGUGAGGAAUUUUGCGCAAUGGGAGCAAUCCUGACGCAGCAACGCCGCGUGGGUGAAGAAGGCCUUCGGGUCGUAAAGCCCUGUCAGGAGGGAAGAACCUCGCUGGGGCGAAUAGCCUUGGCGACUGACGGUACCUCCAGAGGAAGCACCGGCUAACUCCGUGCCAGCAGCCGCGGUAAUACCGAAGGUGCGAGCGUUAUUCGGAAUUACUGGCCGUCAAGCGCGUGUAUGCGGCAUGGUAAGUCUUGGGUGAAAACCCGGGGCUCUACCCCGGAAGUGCAUUGGAAACUGCUCUGCUCGAAUACCCGAGAGGAAGGGGGAAAUUCCCGUGUCACGUUGAAUGCCGUAAUAUAUCGGGAGGAAUACCUCUGGCGAAGGCUGCCCUUCUGGACGGUUACCGAUUCUUAAACUCUAAAACCUGCUGUAUAAACCGGAUUAAAUCCCUGGGUGUUCCCGCCGUAAACCAUUGGUACUUGGUGUAGCUGGGCUUUA
rnacentral:rRNA from 1 species